CUCAAGCAAUUUAAAGGGGCUAUUAAGGAAGACAAGCAAAUUUAUAAAAAAGGAGGUUAAUCAUACCAAAAGCCCCAUAUUAACAAAUAAAAAAUGUGGCAAUCCUAAGGGAAACCUUAAUAUAAGUACUUCCCGAACCAAAACAUUGUAGUAGGGAAAGGAAAGUAAAUCAACCGAGACUCCGAAAGUAAUGGUGAGUGAAAUCGGACCAGCCUAUCAAUAAUUUAAAAACUGAAAUUUCUUUCGAAUAAGAUAUCAUUUACCCGUCCGAAGAACAGCUUUGCGGGGGAGCCGAAGAAGGUGUUAGCCCUGUAGGGGUUUAAAUUAUUGUAUAUCAAGUACGAUGAGAGAUAACUUGUCGGAAUAAAGGGGAACCAUCCUCUAAGGGCUAAGUAUUAUAAAUUUAGCGAUAGUGAACAGUACUGUAAAGGAAAGUUGAAAAGAAAGUAGAUGACUAGUGAAAAGAUCCUGAAUUAGUAGCUCUAUAAGCAGUCGGAAUUUAAAUUAAAUAAUGUUGAAUGACGACGUACCUUUUGCAUAAUGGGUCAGCAAGUUAAUAUUAGUAGCGAGGUUUAAAGCCCUAGCGAAAGCGACUGUACCAAUAUAGAACAAAAUAUGUAGGUAAUGGGAUUAUGUUACUGAUAUUAGACCCGAAACGAGGUGAUCUUUCCAUGGCCAGAUUAUAAUGGAUCGAACGGAUGAAUGUUGCAAAAUUCUCCGAUGAGCUGUGGAAAGGGGUGAAAGGCCAUUCUGACCUCGAGAUAGCUGAUAUUCCACGAAACAUUUUUUAGAAUGACACUUACGAUUAUUUUUUUUUUUUCAUAAGAUUUAUGCAGGUACAGCACUAGGAAUUCCAUACUCUGUGUUUCCGACACAGGUUAAAUUGGGGGGUGUUGCAACUCUACCAUUGGAAAUUAAUCUCGGAAUGGCAUAAAUUGAUAGUAAGUAUUCAGACUGUUCAUGAUAAGGUGGGCAGUCAAAACGGAAACAGCCGUGAGCAUGUAUUAAGGUCCCAAAAUGAUUAUUAAGUGAAAUAAAGGAAGUUACUCUCUAAAUACAGCUAUAAAGUGAGCUUGGCAGUCGCUAUCUUUUAAUGACCGUGUAACAACGCAGUAGUCUAAUGGAGUUUAGCACCGAAAAUUUAACGGGUCUAGAUAAUCUACCGAAAUCAUGCCGCUUUGAUAUAUUAUGUCCCUGGUUGUAGUAUAAUAUGUCCAAGUUGGGUAGUGGAACAUUCAGAACGGAUGAAGAACAGUGUUUCAUUGUUUGGACGUAACUGAAGAGAUAAUGCUGACAUGAGUAACGUAGAAAGAAGUUAUAAUACUUCUCGCCGAAUACGAAAGGGUUGUCCGGUAAAGUUAAACUGCCGGACGUUAUAGCGGCCUCUAAGCUACAAAACCAAUGUUUUGUGUGAUGAGUUUUUCACAGAAAGUCUUUUAUUUUGAAAAAUAAUAGACCAGGAAAAGAAUGUGAAUGUUCUACCGCACUGCGGCCUACAGAACACUAACUACCGUACCCUAAACCGACACAGGUUCGUUGGUAGAGAAUACUCAGGCGUAGAGAUAAUGCUUGUAAAGGAACUCGGCAAGUUGUCCUGCUGAGCGUUUUGGGAAGACGCUCGCGUGGGUGAAACUAUCAAACUCCGGGGACACCCUAAAGCAUAUGGUACCAA
rfam:Rhizoctonia solani AG-1 IA unplaced genomic scaffold scaffold47, whole genome shotgun sequence.